UUCUUUUCCCCUCUCAUUCAAUGGAACCAUUAACUUCUCAAUUCAUGGCUGCCCAUUUCUCUCUUAUCUAAACAGAGAGAGGGAGAGAGAGAAAAAAAAUGGUUGGAGCACAAUUCAAAAAGCACUAAGCACUAAAGAAGGAAAGGGCAAAAACAAAAAAAAAAGAAAUGAAGAAUCUUGAUUCUCUCUCCUCUAUCCCUCAUUUCUGUAUGUGUUUGUGCGUACAAAAUACCCAAUAAUAUUAAUUAUAAAGUCCACUCUCAGGGUCUCACUUCAUCACAGAUCCUACCCUUUCUUCAGCUCUUCGGGAAUCUUAAGCUUCCCCUUUCGCCACCCAACGGGAGGGGAAUUACAGCUAGGAACUUGAGAGUGGGAGAUCCUUUAGACUAUAAAUAUGAGCCUGGCAUGUCUUGUAUGUAAUAGCGUAGAGAGCCCUUCACACUCAUUCAGGAGCUAUUCGGUUUCGAGUUCAGACAAUGAGGGAAGAUGUUCUGCAAUGGCUAACUGCCUAAUAUGGAGACCAUCUUUUCCUCCAACACACCACCCGUCAUAUGCAGCAUCAGCCAAGGUAACUCCCCAACCAACCAUGUCCGACAGCGAUGUAAUGGACGGAACGCCAAGAUUGGUGCGGAGCCGGGCAGUAAGAAGGGACCUAGUACGAGACUGGAAUUUUGAUGAGGUGGUUGUAGUUCAGCAUUAGUACGUUUUACAUUUGAGAUAAGGAGGGCAACAGAGUAAGGUCUUCAAAUGAACAUGGGUGGUGAUGACCUGAAAUGAUGGGAGGAUAGCAUCUUGCUUCCUAUGUAUUUUUGUUUUCUUAUGGGUACAACUGAACUCACACUUCCAUUGGAAGAGUUUGCACAUUUGUAAGCAUGAGAAAAUGUGAUUUAGAACUUUGUUUAUAUAUAACCUAAAUACUACUGAUUCAUAGGAGGCAAGGUUGGGAUGGGUUUAAUUACUUUUGUAAACUUGGAUGGAAUUAUGCUUUAAAAAAUUUUCCAUGAUAUACACCAAGUUUAUUUGCAUAUAAGAAG